rnacentral:rRNA from 1 species
UACGUAGGGUGCAAGCGUUGUCCGGAAUUAUUGGGCGUAAAGAGCUCGUAGGCGGUCUGUCGCGUCUGCUGUGAAAAUCAGGGCUCAACCCUGGACCUGCAGUGGGUACGGGCAGACUAGAGUGCGGUAGGGGAGAUCGGAAUUCCUGGUGUAGCGGUGAAAUGCGCAGAUAUCAGGAGGAACACCGGUGGCGAAGGCGGAUCUCCUGGGCCGUAACUGACGCUGGAGGAGCGAAAGCAUGGGGAGCGAACAGG